GUGCUCGCUUCAGCAGCACAUAUACUAAAAUUGGAACGAUACAGAGAUUAGCAUGGCCCCUGCACAAGGAUGACACGCAAAUUCGUGAAGCAUUCCAUAUUUAA
rnacentral:snRNA from 1 species